CCCUUAGAUGUUCUGGGCCGCACGCGCGCUACACUGAUGCGUUCAACGAGUAUACAACCUUGAUCGAUAGGUCUGGGUAAUCUUGUGAAUGCGCAUCGUGCUAGGGAUAGAUUGUUGCAAUUUUCAAUCUUGAACGAGGAAUUCCUAGUAAACGCAAGUCAUCAGCUUGCAUUGAUUACGUCCCUGCCCUUUGUACACACCGCCCGUCGCACCUACCGAUUGAAUGGUCCGGUGAAAUCUUCGGAUUGAGACUUUGAUUUGUUUACUCAAAACGCUGUUUCAAGAAGUUGAUUAAACCUUACCAUUUAGAGGAAGGUGAAGUCGUAACA
rnacentral:rRNA from 1 species